GGGCGCGACAAGCGGUGGAGCAUGUGGUUUAAUUCGAAGCAACGCGAAGAACCUUACCAGGUCUUGACAUCCUUUGACCACUCUAGAGAUAGAGCUUCCCCUUCGGGGGCAAAGUGACAGGUGGUGCAUGGUUGUCGUCAGCUCGUGUCGUGAGAUGUUGGGUUAAGUCCCGCAACGAGCGCAACCCUUAUUGUUAGUUGCCAUCAUUCAGUUGGGCACUCUAGCAAGACUGCCGGUGACAAACCGGAGGAAGGUGGGGAUGACGUCAAAUCAUCAUGCCCCUUAUGACCUGGGCUACACACGUGCUACAAUGGGAAGUACAACGAGUUGCGAAGUCGCGAGGCUAAGCUAAUCUCUUAAAGCUUCUCUCAGUUCGGAUUGCAGGCUGCAACUCGCCUGCAUGAAGCCGGAAUCGCUAGUAAUCGCGGAUCAGCACGCCGCGGUGAAUACGUUCCCGGGCCUUGUACACACCGCCCGUCACACCACGAGAGUUUGUAACACCCGAAGUCGGUGAG
rnacentral:rRNA from 1 species